rnacentral:rRNA from 1 species
AUUGAACGCUGGCGGCAUGCCUUACACAUGCAAGUCGAACGGCAGCACGGAGCUUGCUCUGGUGGCGAGUGGCGAACGGGUGAGUAAUAUAUCGGAACGUGCCCAAGAGUGGGGGAUAACGUAGCGAAAGUUACGCUAAUACCGCACACGAUCUAAGGAUGAAAGUGGGGGCUCGCAAGACCUCAUGCUCCUGGAGCGGCCGAUAUCUGAUUAGCUAGUUGGUGAGGUAAAGGCUCACCAAGGCAUCGAUCAGUAGCUGGUCUGAGAGGACGGCCAGCCACACUGGGACGGAGACACGGGCCAGACUCCUACGGGAGGCAGCAGUGGGGAAUUUUGGACAAUGGGGGCAACCCUGAUCCAGCAAUGCCGCGUGAGGGAAGAAGGCCUUCGGGUUGUAAAGCUCUUUUGUCAGGGAAGAAACGGUGAAGGCUAAUAUCCUUUGCUAAUGACGGUACCUGAAGAAUAAGCACCGGCUAACUACGUGCCAGCAGCCGCCGUAA